UACUUUUUUCAAGUGUCUGGGUUUUCCAUGAGUCUGUAUUACUGCAUGGUUUCUGAGGAUUUUGUCUUUGUAAUUUAGGCCUCUGGACUGGCUUCCUUUCUGUGAGGGGAUGUAGGAGAGGUCACGUCUGUGGAAAAUGGUUGUAGAUGCUUGCCACUGUAGGAUUCUGCAUGUUAGGUUGGAGGUCCUGUCUAUGCUGUUAUGGCCCACAUGCAACACUGGCAAGACUAAAGACAAAUAUUUUUCAUAUGGACUCAGGUUGGGACACAGCUGAUUGACUGUGCUCAGGCAACCAGGAAAUCUGCUGGUUAGUGCUGGUGUGCCUUAGUGACAGGGAAUGGAAGAGAAGGGCUGCCCUAUGGUCUUACAUGCUGGAAAUACAUGGUAAUGUUUGUGAGUUACUAACUGGGAAGGUAUGUGCUGCUCUUCCAGGAAGAUUGA